AUCUUGCGCAAUGGCCGAAAGGCUGACGCAGCGACGCCGCGUGUGGGAGGACGCCCUUCGGGGUGUAAACCACUGUUGCCCGGGACGAACACACCAUUUCGAUGGUGCUGACGGUACCGGGUGAGGAAGCACCGGCUAACUCCGUGCCAGCAGCCGCGGUAAUACGGAGGGUGCGAGCGUUGUCCGGAAUCACUGGGCGUAAAGGGCGCGUAGGUGGCGCGGUUAGCGUGUGGUGAAAGCUCGGGGCUCAACCCCGAGUCGGCCAUGCGAACUGCCGGGCUUGAGCACUGUAGAGGCAGAUGGAAUUCCGGGUGUAGCGGUGGAAUGCGUAGAGAUCCGGAAGAACACCGGUGGCGAAGGCGGUCUGCUGGGCAGUUGCUGACACUGAGGCGCGACAGCGUGGGGAGCAAAC
rnacentral:rRNA from 1 species